UUUCUGUUUUUCUGCCAUUUAUUGUCUUAUUUAUGAAUUUCCUGUUGAUACUGGUUCUUUUAUUUACAGUCCUCAACAUAUGGGAAAGUUCUUGUGCUUGAUGUCAUUGUUCAGUUGACUGAGAAAGAUGAAUGUGUCUAUCAGGAGAUGAUAACUUAUCUUCCCCUUUGUUCAAUUCAAUCCCCCAAAAACCAAAACUCUGUUGAAUUUUUACGGAAUGUACCUAAAGGAAAGUAUGAUGCAAUUAUUGUUGAUUCAUCAGACCCUGCAGGUAUGUUUGUAAUUCAAACUUUCUACCUGUUUUCCGUUUUCCUAUUUAUUUGCCUGUGUUACAGUGCUUUUCAGAAUGUUACUUAACAAAUGCUUCAUGAUCUCAAACUAUGCGGAAAAAAAAAAAAAAAUUGAUUGAUUGACAGUUGUCUUAGUUUUUCUUUUAUAUUUCUAGUCCUUGAAAUUUAGGACCAUAUGUAUUCACAAUAUGGAAGGUUAUCUGAGUUUUCUCUUGAUUUUUCUGCUAUUUGGAAUAUAGGCACAUGAUUAUGCAUAUGGGUAGAUGUUAUAUAAUUUCGAACGCCAUGAUUAAGUGAUCCCAUAGUUAAGCCUGUAGUUGCUUUCAAGAUUUUGUUGAGGGAAUAGUUGAUAUGAUCGAGCGGUUGAUGUUGGGAGCCAAAUAUUAUGUUGCUCUUUUUUUUUUUUUU